rnacentral:misc_RNA from 1 species
ACGUCAUCCCCACCUUCCUCCUAUUUACAUAGGCAGUUUGUUACGAGUUCCCGACAUUACUCGCUGGCAACAUAACAUGAGGGUUGCGCUCGUUGCGGGACUUAACCCAACAUUUCACAACACGAGCUGACGACAGCCAUGCACCACCUGUGUACCACCUUCGAAAGCGGCUCCUUUUGGGGAGCUUGCAGGUACAUGUCAAGCCUGGGUAAGGUUCUUCGCGUUGCAUCGAAUUAAGCCAUAUGCUCCACCGCUUGUGCGGGCCCCCGCCAAUUCCUUUGAGUUUCAACCUUGCGGCCGUAGUCCCCAGGCGGAUCACUUAAUGCGUUAGCUGCGGCACCGAGGGAAACCCCCCGACACCUAGUGAUCAUCGUUUAGGGCCGAGACUACCAGGGUAUCU